UUUAAUGCAAACGCUUAAACCUAGAAUAAAGUGCAAUAUCUAGUUCGCCACUAGGUGGCAGUGCACAAUGAAACGUUCUUUUUCUGCUGUUUCCUGGCAUUUGUUCUUCUUCUGCUGUUCCUGGCAUUCGUUUUUGCCUUAAAAAAAAGCCUGAAAAACGGGAGCUCGAGCGGAAGUAACUAUUACAAUUAAAAUUGAUCUAGAAGCUGAAAUAUAUCCUCGAGGUUGAACUACAUUGAACAUUACACGACAUCUGUUGUAAACAAAGUUAUCUCGUGGAUUUCAGUGGAUUAAAAACCAGUUUGGCUAUCGACAAUAGCAGUGGAUGUUACCCCACAGACUGGUUUUUUUUUAGGCUUCUCUGGUCCCGGAUCCCUGAUGUUCUUUCCAUUGAGGCUGGAUUCUUCUCUGUUCACCCUGGUGCCUGGUUCCUUGGUCCACUGCCUCAUCUAACAGCGCUGCAACGGUCACAUUG